CCCUGGUAGUCCACACAGUAAACGAUGAAUACUCGCUGUUUGCGAUAUACAGUAAGCGGCCAAGCGAAAGCAUUAAGUAUUCCACCUGGGGAGUACGCCGGCAACGGUGAAACUCAAAGGAAUUGACGGGGGCCCGCACAAGCGGAGGAACAUGUGGUUUAAUUCGAUGAUACGCGAGGAACCUUACCCGGGCUUGAAAGUUACUGACGAUUCUGGAAACAGGAUUUCCCUUCGGGGCAGGAAACUAGGUGCUGCAUGGUUGUCGUCAGCUCGUGCCGUGAGGUGUCGGGUUAAGUCCCAUAACGAGCGCAACCCUUGUUGUCAGUUACUAACAGGUUCCGCUGAGGACUCUGACAAGACUGCCUUCGUAAGAUGUGAGGAAGGUGGGGAUGACGUCAAAUCAGCACGGCCCUUACGUCCGGGGCUACACACGUGUUACAAUGGUAGGUACAGAGGGUCGCUACCCCGCGAGGGGAUGCCAAUCUCGAAAGCCUAUCUCAGUUCGGAUUGGAGGCUGAAACCCGCCUCCAUGAAGUUGGAUUCGCUAGUAAUCGCGCAUCAGCCAUGGCGCGGUGAAUACGUUCCCGGGCCUUGUACACACCGCCCGUCAAGCCAUGGAAGCUGGGGGUGCCUGAAGUUCGUGACCGCAAGGAGCGACCUAGGGCAAAACCGGUAACUGGGGCUAAGUCGUAACAAGGUAGCCGUACCGGAAGGUGCGGCUGGAACACCUCCUUUCUGGAGC
rnacentral:rRNA from 1 species